rnacentral:rRNA from 1 species
GACGAACGCUGGCGGCGUGCUUAACACAUGCAAGUCGAACGAUGACGACCGAGCUUGCUCGGUCUGAUUAGUGGCGAACGGGUGAGUAACACGUGAGCAACCUGCCCUUCACUCUGGGAUAACCUCGGGAAAUCGGGGCUAAUACCGGAUAUGAGCUCCUGUCGCAUGGCGGGUGUUGGUAAGUUUUUCGGUUAAGGAUGGGCUCGCGGCCUAUCCGUUUGUUGGUGAGGUAGUGGCUCACCAAGGCGAGGACGGGUAGCCGGCCUGAGCGGGCGACCGGCCACAGGGGGGAUGGGAGGCGGCCCAGAGGCCUACGGGGGGCAGGGGGGGAGAAUUGUCCACAAAGGGCGAAGGCCGGAAGCAGGGCCGCCGGGUGGGAGAGGACGGCCUUGGGGUGGAAAACCUGUUUCAGGGGGAAGGAAGCAAAGGGACGGGAACUACAAAGAAAGGCACGGCUAACUAAGUG